rnacentral:rRNA from 1 species
UAACGCGUGGGUAACCUGCCUUAUACAGGGGGAUAACAGUCAGAAAUGACUGCUAAUACCGCAUAAGCGCACAGAGCUGCAUGGCUCAGUGUGAAAAACUCCGGUGGUAUAAGAUGGACCCGCGUUGGAUUAGCUAGUUGGUGAGGUAACGGCCCACCAAGGCGACGAUCCAUAGCCGGCCUGAGAGGGUGAACGGCCACAUUGGGACUGAGACACGGCCCAG